rfam:Triticum aestivum genome assembly, contig: Triticum_aestivum_CS42_TGACv1_scaffold_558104_7AL
UAUGUACUCCCUCCGUUCCGAAUUACUUGUCUUAGAUUUGUCUAGAUUUUAGUGCUAAAUACCUCUGUAUCUAGACAAAUCCAAGACAAGUAAUUCGGAACGGAGAGAGUAGUGU